AAAUAUUUAUUUAAUGUGUUUUAAUAAUAAUGUAUUAAUUAAAGUAAUUUUAUGUAAAUUUUAGUAAGGUUUAUAGAAAGAAUAAAGUGGAUGAUAGUGUAAAGUACUGUAAAGGAAAAGUGAAAUAGUUGAAAUAGUUAUUAGAUUGGAAGAAGAAUAGAAUUUGUACCUUGGGUAUCAGGGUUUAUUAAAUAAUAGUAAUGAUUUAUGAAUCUCGAAUUUAAAGGAGUGAAGGUAAUAUAGUAGUUAAUGUGAUAUUAUUAUUAAUAAUAUUACUUUGGUAAUGAAACGUUAGACGUCUUUUAAGUUAUCUGGUUUUUUAAGAAAUGAAUUUAAUUCAUGUUAUUAGGAGUGAUUGUUGAUUUUUUUUUAGGUCAGUAUUUAUUUUUUAAUAGAAAAUAUAUAAGGGGAUAAGCUCUUAUAUAUUAAUUAUAAAUUUAUUAGGGUGAUAGAAGGUGUAGGCUUUAAAUUAGCUAUCAUUAGAAUAAUGUUAUAAGUUGUUUUGUAAAGAAGUUAUUUUUUAAGGAUUUUAAUUGGUUUAUUGAAAUAUUAUAUUUAAUAGAUUAAUAUAAGUGAUAAUGAUGAAAUGAGUAUAUUAUAGUUGUAAAAUUAAGUGUUGAGGGAAUUUAUAGUAAGGAAUUCGGCAAAUUAUCACUCGCCUGUUUAUCAAAAACAUCUCUUUUUGUGUUUAUUUAAAGUAGGGCCUGCCCACUGAAGUUAUUUGAAGGGCCGCGGUAUUAUGACCGUGCAAAGGUAGCAUAAUCAUUAGUCUUUUAAUUGAAGGCUGGAAUGAAUGGUUUGACGAGGUGAUAACUGUUUCAUUAUAAUAUUUAGAAGUUAACUUUUAAGUAAAAAGGCUUAGAUGUUAAUAGAGGACGAGAAGACCCUAUAGAGCUUUAUAUAUAUGUAUAUAAUUUAUGUUUAGAAGUAUUUAAAAUUUUAUGAUAAUUGUAUUAUGUUGGGGUGACAUAAAGAUACAGUGAACUCUUUAUUUUUAAGACAUUGAUAUAUGGGUAGUUGAUCCAUUUUUAGUGAUCAUAAGAUUAAGUUACCUUAGGGAUAACAGCGUAAUUUUCUUUGAGAGUUCUUAUCAACAAGGAAGAUUGCGACCUCGAUGUUGGAUUAAGGAAUAUAUUUGGAUGCAGCAGUUCAAUUUAUAGGUCUGUUCGACCUUUAAAUCCUUACAUGAUCUGAGUUCAGACCGGUGUAAGCCAGGUCGGUUUCUAUCCUUAUUUGGAUUUUAUACUUUAGUACGAAAGGACCAAGUAUUUUAAAUACUUUAUAUAGUAUGAUUAAUAUUAA
rnacentral:rRNA from 1 species